rnacentral:rRNA from 1 species
GGAAACGGGUUAAUAUUCCCGUACUUCUUACAAUUGCGAUGGGGGGACGGAGAAGGCUAGGUGGGCCUGGCGACGGUUGUCCAGGUUCAAGUGCGUAGGCUUGAGAGUUAGGUAAAUCCGGCUCUCUUUAAGGCUGAGACACGACGUCGAGCACCUACGGGUGUGAAGUCAUUGAUGCCAUGCUUCCAGGAAAAGCCUCUAAGCUUCAGAUUGUAAGGAAUCGUACCCCAAACCGACACAGGUGGUCGGGUAG